UACGUAGGGGGCAAGCGUUGUCCGGAAUCAUUGGGCGUAAAGCGCGCGUAGGCGGCCCGGUAAGUCCGCUGUGAAAGUCCAGGGCUCAACCCUGGAAAGCCGGUGGAUACUGCCGGGCUAGAGUCCGGAAGAGGCGAGUGGAAUUCCUGGUGUAGCGGUGGAAUGCGCAGAUAUCAGGAGGAACACCAAGAGCGAAGGCAGCUCGCUGGGACGGUACUGACGCUGAGGUGCGAAAGCGUGGGGAGCAAACAGG
rnacentral:rRNA from 1 species